AUCUUUCCAGCACGUAUGACACA
rnacentral:piRNA from 1 species